rnacentral:rRNA from 1 species
UACGUAGGGGGCAAGCGUUGUCCGGAUUUAUUGGGCGUAAAGCGCUCGCAGGUGGUUCGUCGCGUCGUGCGUGAAAGACCCCGGCUCAACUGGGGGGUGUCGUGCGAUACGGGCGGACUGGAGGCCAGUAGGGGGAUGCGGAAUUCCGGGUGUAGUGGUGGAAUGCGUAGAGAUCCGGAGGAACACCAGCGGCGAAGGCGGCAUCCUGGACUGGUCCUGACACUCAGGAGCGAAAGCGUGGGGAGCGAGCCGG